rnacentral:lncRNA from 1 species
AACUCUGAAACUUAAUGUGAUAAGAAUGCUGUGUAUCCUAUAAUGUAGUUAUCAUUAGUAAUUUUAAUUUGCAUACAUGUAACGAUAUUUCUUUGAAAACUCAUUUCUUCACUUUAAACGUAUUUGGCAUCAUUAACGUAUUGGAAUUUAAGGCAAUUCGAAAGCUCGAUUGUAAAAUUACGGAGCUCAGUUCAUGAAUUUAAUGCAGUUCGGAAGUUCCAUAACCGAAAAUACAGAAAGCGUCGAUUUGUGUGUGAAGACCAUAGUCCAAGCUUAUGAUACCACGUGACAGGGAAAAGUCUUUGGAUUAGCGAAGAUGUAGCGCAAACUUGAUUAUUAAACUGAGAAAUGGAAGAAAGCUCCAGCGUAAAUUUGUCAUCUUUUCCAUUUGAAUUUCUUGAAGACGCUUGCUAAAGAGGUUUAAAGUAUUAAAGCAUUUCUUGUAUAAUGAAACAGGAAAGACCUCAACAGUGUGAAACAGCGCCGCAAAAACCCAGUUACAGG